UGGGGAAUUUUGGACAAUGGGCGCAAGCCUGAUCCAGCCAUGCCGCGUGUGGGAAGAAGGCCUUCGGGUUGUAAACCACUUUUGUCAGGGAAGAAACGGCCUGAUCUAAUACAUUGGGUUAAUGACGGUACCUGAAGAAUAAGCACCGGCUAACUACGUGCCAGCAGCCGCGGUAAUACGUAGGGUGCGAGCGUUAAUCGGAAUUACUGGGCGUAAAGCGUGCGCAGGCGGCUUUGCAAGACAGAUGUGAAAUCCCCGGGCUCAACCUGGGAACUGCAUUUGUGACUGCAAGGCUAGAGUACGGUAGAGGGGGAUGGAAUUCCGCGUGUAGCAGUGAAAUGCGUAGAUAUGCGGAGGAACACCGAUGGCGAAGGCAAUCCCCUGGACCUGUACUGACGCUCAUGCACGAAAGCGUGGGGAGCAAACAGGAUUAGAUACCCCNGUAGUCCCUGAGCGGGCUGGCAAGGCGCAU
rnacentral:rRNA from 1 species